rnacentral:tRNA from 1 species
AGAAAUUUAGGUUACACACUAAACCAAGAGCCUUCAAAUCUCUAAACAGGGACUCACCCUAAUUUCUG